GCAGCCAGAUGGAAGUUUGACUGAGAUUGAGUCACGAGAUGUUGAAUUCCUCGAGGAGGAUUUUCCUUAUAGAAGUGAGGUUCGAAAUGAAAUUGAGUUCCAUGAGAUGGAUGACUCUGGUAUUGGCGCUUCUAUUCGCUCAGUUGAGGCAGAGGAGGCAACUCCGAUUCCUCCUAGGGAUAGUGGGAGCGACUUACCUUUAAAUAAGGAGCCUCAACUUCGUAGGAGCACAUGUGUGGGAGUUCCCCGUCGUCGUUUUGAGAUUGAGGGGGAAGCUUUCA
rnacentral:lncRNA from 1 species